rnacentral:rRNA from 1 species
UAGGGAAUCUUCCGCAAUGGACGCAAGUCUGACGGAGCAACGCCGCGUGAGUGAAGAAGGAUUUCGGUUCGUAAAACUCUGUUGUUAGAGAAGAACAGCGCAUAGAGUAACUGUUAUGCGUGUGACGGUAUCUAACCAGAAAGCCACGGCUAACUACGUGCCAGCAGCCGCGGUAAUACGUAGGUGGCAAGCGUUGUCCGGAUUUAUUGGGCGUAAAGCGAGCGCAGGCGGUCAAUUAAGUCUGAUGUGAAAGCCCCCGGCUCAACCGGGGAGGGUCAUUGGAAACUGGUUGACUUGAGUGCAGAAGAGGGGAGUGGAAUUCCAUGUGUAGCGGUGAAAUGCGUAGAUAGAUGGAGGAAAACCAGUGGGGAAGGCGACUCUCUGGUCUGUAACUGACGCUGAGGCUCGAAAGCGUGGGUAGCAAACAGG